GUGCUUUGGCAACACAAAUACUAAAAUUGGAACGAUACAGAGGAGAUUAGCAUGGCCCCUGCAUAAGGAUGACACACAAAUUCAUGAAGUGUUCCAUAUUUUU
rnacentral:snRNA from 1 species